rnacentral:rRNA from 1 species
GGAAACCCUGAUCCAGCCAUGCCGCGUGCGGGAAGAAGGCCUUCGGUUGUAAACCGCUUCGGACGGAAAGAAAUCGCCAUUCCUAAUACGAGUGGUGGAUGACGGUACCGUAAGAAGAAGCACCGGCUAACUACGUGCCAGCAGCCGCGGUAAUACGUAGGGUGCGAGCGUUAAUCGGAAUUACUGGGCGUAAAGCGUGCGCAGGCGGUUUCUUAAGCCAGACGUGAAAUCCCCGAGCUUAACUUGGGAACUGCGUUUGGAACUGGGAGACUAGAGUGUGUCAGAGGGGGGUGGAAUUCCACGUGUAGCAGUGAAAUGCGUAGAGAUGUGGAGGAACACCGAUGGCGAAGGCAGCCCCCUGGGAUAACACUGACGCUCAUGCACGAAAGCGUGGGGAGCAAAACAGGAUUAGAUACCCUGGUAGUCCACGCCCUAAAACGAUGUCAACUGGCUGUUGGGAGAGCAAUCUCUUAGUAGCGAAGCUAACGCGUGAAGUUGACCGCCUGGGGAGUACGGCCGCAAGGUUGAAAACUCAAAAGGAAUUGGACC